rnacentral:rRNA from 1 species
AGUGAACGCUGGCGGUAGGCCUAACACAUGCAAGUCGAACGGCAGCACAGUAAGAGCUUGCUCUUACGGGUGGCGAGUGGCGGACGGGUGAGGAAUACAUCGGAAUCUACUUUUUCGUGGGGGAUAACGUAGGGAAACUUACGCUAAUACCGCAUACGACCUACGGGUGAAAGCAGGGGAUCUUCGGACCUUGCGCGAUUGAAUGAGCCGAUGUCGGAUUAGCUAGUUGGCGGGGUAAAGGCCCACCAAGGCGACGAUCCGUAGCUGGUCUGAGAGGAUGAGAGGCCACAGUGGAAGUGAGGCGCGGGGCAGAGACCGGCGGGAGGCAGAAGAGGGGAAGAGUGGACAAGGGGUGCAAGCCGGAUACAGACAUACCGCGUAGGUGAAGGCGGCAUGUGGGUUGUAAAGUCCUUUUGGUGGGAAAGAAAAGCAGCAGGUUAAUACCCCGCUGAACUGACGGGACCCAACAAAGAAGCACCGGCUAACUUCGUG